GUUUCGAUUACAAACUAGAUUGAACGCUGGCGGGAUACUUUACGGCAUGCAAGUCGAACUGGCAGCACGUUCGGUCUGGUGGCGAGUGGCGAACGGGUGAGUAAUGUAUCGGAGACGUGCCUAGUAGCGGGGGAUAACUACGCGAAAGCGUAGCUAAUACCGCAUACGCCCUUCGGGGAAAGCGGGGGACCUUCGGGCCUCACGCACUAUUAGUGACCGAUAUCGGAUUAGCUAGUUGGUGGGAGUAACGGCUCACCUAGGCAGCGAUCCGUAGCUGGUUUGAAGGACGACCAGCCACACUGGGACUGAGACACAGCCCAGACUCCUACAGGAAGCGACAGUGGGGAAUUUUGGACAAUGGAAACCUGAUCCAGCCAUCCCGCGUGUGCGAUGAAGGCCUUCGGGUUUGUAAAGCACUUUUGGCAGGAAAGAAACGGCCUGGGAUAAUACCCCGUGCAACUGACGAAAACACCUGCAGAAUAAGCACCGGCUAACUACGUGCCAGCAGCCGCGGUAACGUAGGGUGCAAGCGUUAAUCGGAAUUACUGGGCGUAAAGCGUGCGCAGGCGGUUCGGAAGAAGAUGUGAAAUCAGAGCUUAACUUUGGAACUGCAUUUUUAACUACCGAGCUAGAGUGUGUCAGAGGGAGGUGGAAUUCCGCGUGUAGCAGUGAAGCCGUGAUAACCAUGGAGGAGCACCGAUGGCGAAGGCAGCCUCCUGGGACAACACACUGACGCUCGUGCACGAAAGCAUUAAGGAGCAAACGGGAUUAGAUACCCUGGUAGUCCACGCCCUAAACGAUGUCAACUAGCUGUUGGGGCCUUCGGGCGCUUGGUAGCGCAGCUAACGCGUGAAGUUGACCGCCUGGGAGUACGGUCGCAAGAUUAAAGCAAAGGAAUUGACGGGGACGCACAAGCGGUGGAUGAUGUGGAUUAAUUCGAUGCAACGCGAAAACCAUAUACCUACCCUUGACAUGUCUGGAAUCCCGAAGGGUUGGGAGUGCUCGCAAGAGAACCGGAACACAGGUGCUGCAUGGCUGUCGUCAGCUCGUGUCGUGAGAUGUUGGGUUAAGUCCCGCAACGAACGCAACCCCUUGUCAUUAGUUGCUACGAGGCACUCUAAUGAGACUGCCGGUGACAAACCGGAGAAUUAGGGGAUGACGUCAAGUCUCAUGGCCCUUAUGGGUAGGGCUUCACACGUCAUACAAUGGUCGGGACAGAGGGUCGCCAGCCCGCGAGGGGGAGCCAAUCCCAGAAACCCGAUCGUAGUCCGGACCGCCGGAAGUCUGCACCAGCUCGACUGCGUGAAGUCCGGAAUCGCUAGUAAUCGCGGAUCAGCAUGUCGCGGUAGAUACGUUCCCGGGUCUUGUACACACCGCCCGUCACACCAUGGGAGUGGGUUUUACCAGAAGUAGUUAACCUAACCGUAAAGGAGGGCGAUUACCACGGUAGGAUUCAUGACUGGGGUGAAGUCGUAACAAUUC
rnacentral:rRNA from 1 species